rnacentral:misc_RNA from 1 species
UCAAACUUGGUCAUUUAGAGGAAGUAAAAGUCGUAACAAGGUUUCCGUAGGUGAACCUGCGGAAGGAUCAUCAUUGAAUAGUAACUUUUUUCAAGCUUUGAAGGGGGGGAAAGAGAGAGAGAGAGAUUUCUCUCUUUUGUUCUCUUCUGGCUUGCAAAAACAAACAACUUUGAUACCCAAAAAGAGUCGCAUUCUUUUUCCUGCUUGUCUCUUCAGUCUUUUGCAGCUUUUCCGGCUUAUUUAUUUGGGUUGGUUGUUGCUGUGGGAGGCCUGGGAGAGAAGAGGGGAAGAGAGGGGGAAACCCCAGACAAAAACACAAGUAGUUGCCUGAUAAAAAAGAGUUUGGUUGGCAAUGGGAAAAUGAAACAACUUUCAACAACGGAUCUCUUGGCUCUCACAUCAAUGAAGAACGCAGC